CUGAGCUUUCUCUCUCAGUCGAUCUUAUGGUUUGUUCUAGAGAGAGAAAAUGGCUUAAAACCGAUACAAUUUUUGAGUAUGUGAGGUGAGUGUGGAAGGCUUUUGCGUGGCUUGAUCCUUGCUCUAGGAUCGGUUGUGGAGUGCUAGGAGUGGUGGUAAGACCUUAGUUGAUCGUUUGUAGGUUCCCUUUUCCCUCUUAGCCUUUAGCCUCUCUUUGAUCGGUUUUAGUGUUAACCUUAGGUCUUUUGCUUUUGGAGCUGUUGUGCGGUUUGUGAAGUUUUAGGUGGGUUUCCCUGGUUGUGUUGUGUGUUCUAACCGUGUGUGUGUGCAGGUGGAGGAGCAUGAAACGUUUUAGUUCUUGUGAUUGAACCACAUUUGUGGCUAUGAUUGUUUGUGUGUGUGUGUGUGUGGGAGAUUGAUAGUCCCCAUACUUGAGUGUUUACUUUCUUGCAUGCAUUAGUUGUAUUUGUGCAUUGCAUGUCUUGUGGUGGUGAACAUAUUCAUCUAGGGGUGAUGAUAUGUUAGACAUGCAUUGUGUUGUUAGGUCGUUAGUUGCAUGCAUGCAUUCGUUUGAUUAGUUGUAGCUUAUGAGUUGUUGUUGUGAAGCAUGAAGAUUUGAGUGUAACUCUCUCAUGUAGUUCAUAUGCUCAUGCAUUGUAGUGUAGUUUGGGGUUGCAAAGAGAUUUGAGUGAGACUCUCUCUUUUGCAGGGUAGUUGUUGUUUUGUUUUGGGAACUCACUGAGUGAUUUCGAUUACUCAUUCCCUCUUCUACUAUGCAGGUAACCUUAGGGGAUUGGGCGUUUGCGGGGUGCGGAGGACGAGUCCAGGCGUAGAUUUUCGUUGUUGUUUGCAAGGCGCAAGAUGUUAAUGUUUUCAUUCGUUUUGUUUUUCAUGGGUAACCGUUGACUCGUUUGUUUUUAUUUUCUGCUGCGUUUAUCUUUAAGGACUUUAGUCGAGUUCCCGACUGUAAAAUAAAUAAAAUUAUGUUUGUUUUAAUAAAAUCUCCGUAGAACGCUG
rnacentral:lncRNA from 1 species